AACAUGUUGCUCACCAGCGCUAACCGUGCAGUCCUGUGCUGAGUACUGUAUCCUAAAUGAAUAACAUUAUAUAUUACUUAAUUGUUAAUGUUGAGUACCGUUAGUGGAUGUGUAUUUUAACGCUUAGCGAAAGAUUUUUAGAACUUACUUUUAUUUGAAUAAUGGCAGCAUUAUUAAAAAAGUAAUGAAAUUGUUGUUUGUGGCAAUAAUACUCGUGUCAGUGAUUGUUACGUAAACUCAUCGGAUCUCUCUUUCACACUCGCCCUACUAAAUGGGUCCACUAGCGCUCAGUAAUUGAUUAGAUACGCAUUCUUGACUUUAUUUUCAUUGCUUGUUAUUUCUUGGAUAUUCAGUGGACUUCUUUUUAUAUUUUGUUGAAUUUUGUUACAAUGGAUUCAACUUUACGUGAACAAGUUAUGAUAAAUCAAUUUGUGCUAGCUGCAGGAUGUGCUCAAGAACAAGCAAAACAGCUAUUGCAAGCUGCACAUUGGCAAUUUGAGACCGCAUUAUCAAUAUUUUUUCAAGAAGUGGCUAUUCCGACUGGAGCUAAUGGCAUUGCAGCCCCACAUUACCGUCAGCAAUUGAUGACACCAUGCAACACUCCAGCGACACCUCCUAAUUUUCCCGAUGCUCUAGCUGCUUUUUCACGACUGUCUACGACAGGCAGCCCAAACAAUGCAGGUGGCGGUGGAUGUGGAAAUGCAGCUGCGCCGCCUGUGUCUCCGCUCGCCACGCACCCACCACCGCCACCACCGCCACAUAUGCAAAUGAACAUGUUUCCUGGCAAUCAAAAUCCUCAGACAAAUUAUUCGUCAAUUUCCCGCUCAACUGCCAUGUGCAGCGAAAAUAUGCCAAGAUAAAUUUGAAGGUAUUAGUUUAGGAGCAUCUAUAAUUUAUUUUUCUAAUGGUGCGCAAUGUGAGCUGUGGAAUUGUGUAUGAAAUGUAUAUUACUUUAGUAAACACCCUAUAGCAGCGAUGGUUUGCUGGACAAUAUUUGGGGUGCUGUACUGUAGUCAAUCAUGUUAAAUUUAUUACAAAAUAUCGUAUCUACAUUAUAUGUAUACAGUGGUUUCAAAAUGUGCACAAUAAAUCCUAUGAAUUGUGUUAGUUUUUGGUAAUCGAAAUUUAUAAAGUAAUUGUAAAAAAAUUGUAACAAAUUGUAAUCAUAAAUAAUAAUCAUUACUUUAAUAACAUACAGAGUGAGAAUUUUGCUUUAGCUUCUAAAGUUAUCGUCGUACUUCGACAUUAUUUCUUAGUUAUGAAUAUGAUGUGUAAUAAAAUAAUAUUGACAGUGAUACCCUGGUAUAUACUACUCAACUGCAAGUACUUACCUACCUUUAUACAAAACUAAUACAUAAGUAGAAGAAUGUCAAAUAAUUCUUAAAAAAAUAAAAUAGCUAGUUGUCUCAGGAAAUAACUUCGUUACUGUUGUGAAACCAGUAAACUGAAUAAGUUACAUUUACACAAAAUUUGUUGUGUGCUUCUAAAUAUCUGUCUAGAUUCGGAGACGGUUUUUAUUUUUCUUCAAUAUUUUGUUCCCCAUUUUUAACGAAGUUUUGCACGAGAAAAAUAAGAUCCGGUCAUGGUUUCCGUUAUGUCAACAAACAGCAAUAGAGCCAGUUGGCACAAUGGGAAUGCACCCAUUUCACCCAGUUGUCUACAGUUUUUAAUUUUAAUCUUUUUGACGCUUGUGUGUACCUUGUAAAAUAAUACGAACGCGAGAUUGUGGGAUGUAAGAACGACACGCUAGUUGCAUACUUCGAACGGAGCAAGUUCUAUGAUAUUAUAUAUUAUCUUGCUUUGUAAGAUUCUGUUCUGUCACAAUAUAUUGACCCUAACAUAAUUAUCGUAAUUUCUAUGUAGGUAAGCAAUAAAUAGUAUGGUUAAUGAAGUAGGUACAGUUCAGGUAAUAAAUACAUACAGUAAACACGUAAACAGAGCUAAUUACAGUCCAGUCAUGCACAGUUCGCUACGCUAGUAUUUUAGUCGAUCAGCAACUAUUUGGCAGCUUUCUCUCGUUUCGAUUUUAGGACAGAAGCGGGUAAAAGCUACCGAACUAGAACUCGCUAAUCGAUUAAAAUACUAGCAUAGUGCGAACAAGACAUUACUUCAUCAAACUGGCUGUACCAACCUAUGUGGUUCAUAGUACCUACCAAAUACCUAUUGCAUUAUAACUCAGGUUAAAAGUUAUUAGUUUUUUCAUAAAUAAUUGAAUUUCACCUGUUAAAAUUAUACGAUUUAUAUAAUUAAUUAUAUUAGGUAUAAUUUAAAUAAGAUAAGUAGUCAUCUAUGAGAAAGGUUACUUAAUCAAAAUAGUUUAGAAUUACUACGGCCAUAAUAUUUAAGUUUGAGAUUUCAUCUGACCUUCGUAAGUGAAAAGGAGAAUGAGAUUAAAGUACCAUCCGCCAAAGUGAAUAAACCUGGCACAUAUAAAUGUAAACAAUAACAUUGAGAAAUGUAGAUAUACUUACCUAUUGUUUUCGACCCUAAGUUUAAUAUGUGGAGCCUGUUCAUAGAUAUUUUACCUUAUUAUAAUUACGACAGUACUAUUAAAAUAUAUCUCAGCUUAUCAUUUUACAAAAUAACAAGUGUAAUCGUAUUUCCAUUGCGUCACCUGUCUCAAUAACAUCAAUAAAAGCAAUUUUCUAUGAAAAAGGUUUAACUCCGCCAUAAAAAUAGUUAGUUCCAGAAACAAGGACCUAAGAUAAAAACACCGAAACCUAAAAUCAGUUCAAUUUAAAUAAAGAGAGCACCGUGUGCUACCUACCCCUUACCUAGUAUCUACUAUAAUUAUUUAUUAAUCAAAAUAUGCACGUCAUACUGAUUGAUAUAGCUUCUCUAAUAAAGCCGAAGAGAAUUCUCCGUGUGGUUACUGUAAAAGUGUACAGGCUCAGACAGAAUACUUAAUAGGUACUUACAUAAAUAAAAUAAAAGGUAUUAUAUUUCGGUGUUAAAGAAAUUUGUAAGAACAAUGAAUCAUUACUAUUUCCUCAAUAUAUAAUUGUAACAUCUUGGUAAUUUAAUACUUCAGAUGUCUUUAGUAGCCAUAGCAUAUUUUGCACCUGUAUGUUUUCUCAAUGUUGAUAUUACAUAAUAUUUUUAUUUUAUAGUGUUAUUUCAUAUUGUCUUACUUUUAUAAGACACUAAUUUGCUUGUUUCGGCUGUCACGAAUAAAAAAUGAUUGUAUUAA